rnacentral:rRNA from 1 species
GACAGAGGGUGCAAACGUUGCUCGGAAUCACUGGGCGUAAAGGGCGUGUAGGCGGACUAGUAAGUCGGGCGUGAAAUCCCUGGGCUCAACCCAGGAACUGCACUCGAAACUGCGAGUCUUGAGUACCGGAGAGGAAGGUGGAAUUCCUGGUGUAGAGGUGAAAUUCGUAGAUAUCAGGAGGAACACCAGUGGCGAAGGCGGCCUUCUGGACGGUAACUGACGCUGAGACGCGAAAGCGUGGGGAGCAAAC